UUUGCUAAGCUCAUCGCCAAGAUCCUCUCCCUGCGUCUAGCGCCAAAACUUGGCAGUCUCAUAUCUCCGGCGCAGAGUGCUUUCCUCAAGACUAGGUGCAUCCAUGAUACCUUUCUGUUCGUCAGAAAUGCCGCACACAGCCUGCAUCGUAGAAAGAAAUCUCCACUACUUUUCAAAAUGGAUAUAGCGAAGGCGUUCGACUCAAUCUCGUGGGAAUAUCUUCUGAACUACUCCAGAAGCUAG
rnacentral:rRNA from 1 species